UACAGAGGUCUCGAGCGUUAGGCGGAAUCACUGGGCUUAAAGGGCGCGUAGGCGGACUAUCAAGUCUGGGGUGAAAUCCCGCGGCUCAACCGUGGAACUGCCUCAGAUACUGACGGUCUUGAGCCAGCUAGGGGCGAGCGGAACAGACGGUGGAGCGGUGAAAUGCGUAGAUAUCGUCUGGAACGCCGAAGGUGAAAACAGCUCGCUGGGGGCUGCGCUGACGCUGAGACACGAAAGCCAGGGGAGCGAACGGG
rnacentral:rRNA from 1 species